CCUACGGGAGGCAGCAGUGAGGAAUAUUGGUCAAUGGUCGCAAGCCUGAACCAGCCAAGCCGCGUGAGGGAUGAAGGUACAGAGUAUCGUAAACCUCUUUUGUCAGGGAACAAAGGCGGGGACGUGUCCCCGGAUGAGUGUACCUGAAGAACAAGCAUCGGCUAACUCCGUGCCAGCAGCCGCGGUAAGACGGAGGAUCCGAGCGUUAGCCGGAUUUAUUGGGUUUAAAGGGAGCGUAGAUGGGUUGUUAAGUCAGUUGUGAAAGUUUGGGGCUCAACCGUAAAAUUGCAAUUGAUACUGGCAGGCUUGAGUACAGUUGAGGUAGGUGGAAUUCGUGGUGUAGCGGUGAAAUGCUUAGAUAUCACGAAGAACUCCGAUUGCGAAGGCAGCUUACUAAACUGACACUGACGUUGAGGCUCGAAAGUGUGGGUAUCAAACAGGAUUAGAUACCCGUGUAGUC
rnacentral:rRNA from 1 species